rnacentral:rRNA from 1 species
GAUGAACGCUGGCGGCGUGCCUAAUACAUGCAAGUCGAGCGAACAGAUAAGGAGCUUGCUCCUUUGACGUUAGCGGCGGACAGGUGAGUAACACGUGGGUAACCUACCUAUAAGACUGGAAUAACUCCGGAAAACCGGGGCUAAUGCCGGAUAACAUGUUGAACCGCAUGGUUCUACAGUGAAAGGCGGCUUUGCUGUCACUUAUAGAUGGACCCGCGCCGUAUUCGCUAAUUGGUGGGGUAACGGCUCACCAAGGCAACGACACGUAGCCGACCUGGGAGGGUGGUCGGCCACACUGGAACUAGGACACGGUCCAAACUCCUAGGGGGGGCAGCAGUAGGGAAUCUGCCGCAAUGGGCGAAAGCCUGACGGGGCAACGCGGCGUGAUGAAUGAAGGUCUUCGGUUCUAAAAACUUGUUUAUUAGAGAGAAACAAAUGCGUAAUAAACUGUGCGCGACUUGACGGUACCUAAUAAGAAAGCCACGGCUAACUACGUG